rnacentral:rRNA from 1 species
UCGGGAAUCUUGCACAAUGGGCGAAAGCCUGAUGCAGCAACGCCGUGUGAGCGACGAAGGCCCUAGGGUCGUAAAGCUCUGUUGUUGGGGACGAAGGGCGAAGGGUUAAUAGCCCUUAGCCUGACGGUACCCUUCGAGGAAGCCCCGGCUAACUACGUGCCAGCAGCCGCGGUAAUACGUAGGGGGCGAGCGUUGUCCGGAAUUAUUGGGCGUAAAGAGCGUGUAGGCGGCUUGGUAAGUCUGCUGUGAAACCUUGGGGCUCAACCCCAAGCGUGCAGUGGAUACUGUCAAGCUAGAGGAUGGUAGAGGCCAGUGGAAUUCCCAGUGUAGCGGUGAAAUGCGCAGAUAUUGGGAGGAACACCAGUAGCGAAGGCGGCUGGCUGGGCCAUUCCUGACGCUGAGACGCGAAAGCUAGGGGAGCGAACAGGAUUAGAUACCCCCGUAGUCC